rnacentral:rRNA from 1 species
UACAAGCAGUGGGAGCACAGGUUUACCUGUGUGACUGCGUACCUUUUGUAUAAUGGGUCAGCGACUUAUAUUCUGUAGCAAGGUUAACCGUAUAGGGGAGCCGUAGGGAAACCGAGUCUUAACCGGGCGUUAAGUUGCAGGGUAUAGACCCGAAACCCGGUGAUCUAGCCAUGGGCAGGUUGAAGGUUGGGUAACACUAACUGGAGGACCGAACCGACUAAUGUUGAAAAAUUAGCGGAUGACCUGUGGCUGGGGGUGAAAGGCCAAUCAAACCGGGAGAUAGCUGGUUCUCCCCGAAAGCUAUUUAGGUAGCGCCUCGUGAAUUCAUCUCCGGGGGUAGAGCACUGUUUCGGCUAGGGGGCCAUCCCGGCUUACCAACCCGAUGCAAACUGCGAAUACCGGAGAAUGUUAUCACGGGAGACACACGGCGGGUGCUAACGUCCGUCGUGAAGAGGGAAACAACCCAGACCGCCAGCUAAGGUCCCAAAGUCAUGGUUAAGUGGGAAACGAUGUGGGAAGGCCCAGACAGCCAGGAUGUUGGCUUAGAAGCAGCCAUCAUUUAAAGAAAGCGUAAUAGCUCACUGGUCGAGUCGGCCUGCGCGGAAGAUGUAACGGGGCUAAACCAUGCACCGAAGCUGCGGCAGCGAACGUAUCACCCAAGACAACUUUACGGAGUUGACGAUUGACGGAGCGAAGCGACGUCAAAGCGUUCAUUAAAGUCGAGUUGGCUUAGGGAUACGUUCGUUGGGUAGGGGAGCGUUCUGUAAGCCUGUGAAGGUGUGUCGUGAGGCAUGCUGGAGGUAUCAGAAGUGCGAAUGCUGACAUAAGUAACGAUAAAGCGGGUGAAAAGCCCGCUCGCCGGAAGACCAAGGGUUCCUGUCCAACGUUAAUCGGGGCAGGGUGAGUCGACCCCUAAGGCGAGGCCGAAAGGCGUAGUCGAUGGGAAACGGGUUAAUAUUCCCGUACUUGGUGUUACUGCGAAGGGGGGACGGAGAAGGCUAUGUUGGCCGGGCGACGGUUGUCCCGGUUUAAGCGUGUAGGUGUGUGUUCCAGGUAAAUCCGGUU